GCUGGGGAUAUGGCUCAGUAGGUAAGUGCCCUGGNCUAGCAAUAGCCUGAAACUCAAAGGACUUGGCGGUGCUUUACAUCCCUCUAGAGGAGCCUGUUCUAUAAUCGAUAAACCCCGAUACACCUCACCACCUUUAGCAUAUAUCAGCCUAUAUACCGCCAUCUGCAGCAAACCCUAAAAAGGCCCUACAGUAAGCAAGAAAAUUUUACAUUAGUACGUUAGGUCAAGGUGUAGCCUAUAAGGUGGGAAGAAAUGGGCUACAUUUUCUACCUUUCUAGAAUAAACCCCCACGAUAGCUUUUAUGAAACUCAGAGCAUAAGGCGGAUUUAGUAGUAAGUUAAGAAUAGAGAGCUUAACUAAAUGGGGCAAUAAAGCACGCACACACCACCCGUCACCCUCUUCAAAUAUACUUCAAUACAAUUCUAUUAAUAAUUUAUUUUAUCAAAUAUAUAAGAAGAGACAAGUCAUAACAAGGUAAACAUACUGGAAAGUGUGUUUGGAAUAACCAAAAUGUAGCUUAUAAUUAAAGUACCCGGCUUACACCCGAGAGAUUUCACUUACUAUGAACAUUUUGAACUAAUGCUAGCCCAACUCUUAUUCCUUUCAAAUAUAAUUCACUUAAUAAAUAAAACAUUUACCUGAAUAAAGUAUAGGAGAUAGAAAUUUAUAUCUGGAGCUAUAGAGAAAGUACCGCAAGGGAAAGAUGAAAGAAUAAAUUAAUAGUACUAAAAGUCUUUUACCUUUUGCAUAAUGAUUUAACCAGAAAACACUUGACAAAAAGAAUUUAAGCCAAACACCCCGAAACCAGACGAGCUACUUAUGAGCAGCCAAUAAGAGCCUAUCCGUCUAUGUUGCAAAAUAGUGGAGCGACUUAUAAGUAGAGGUGAAAAGCCUACCGAGCCUGGUGAUAGCUGGUUGUCCAGACUAGAAUUUAAGUUCUGCUUUAAAUUUACCUAAAGCAUAAAUAAGCCAAAUGUAAAUUUAAAUGUUAUUCUAAAGAGGGACAGCUCUUUAGAGCCAAGGAAUUAACCUUAACUAGAGAGUAAAACUACUAACUUUCAUAGUUGGCCUAAAAGCAGCCAUCAAUUAAAAAAGCGUUAAAGCUUAAUCUAAUUAUUAAAAUUUAAUACCCAACUCUUUCAUAAUCUCCUAAAUCAAUACUGGACUAAUCUAUUUUACAUUAGAAGAAACUAUGUUAAAAUCAGUAACAAGAAAAUAUUCUCCCUGCAUAAGCUUAUAUCAGAUCGAAUAAUUCACUGAUAGUUAACAACUCCAUAAUAUUAAAUNAAGGGUGAGUUAAGACAGAGAUGAGGAUAAAAGGAA
rnacentral:lncRNA from 1 species